UUAGCUGCUACUUUUAACUUGAAUUGAGUUUUUAAAAUAGUCCUGAGAGCCUAUAAGAGACCCUUAGAAAUGAGAAGGCAAUUAAGAUCAAUGUCUUCUACUUUGUUCUUUAAAAAAUAAGAAAAAAAGAACAUUGUUCACACCUGCCCAAACGAACCACACAAAGGGGGUUGAUGCUCCAGGGUUCGAUUCAACAGAACAGAACUAAACAAGGCAGGUCUGACAACUCCCAUAGUAUCACUCAAUAAGAAACUUUCUAAAAAUAUUGAGUUAAAAUCUCAAAAUAAUGACUUAGCUAGUAUCUCAAUGACAAACCUUCCCAAAAUAAACUAACUUAUUGUUAUAAGUUAAUUAUUAUGUUUGAGAUAAUACAGUUAAUUCAUUAAUUUGAGACAAAACUCCACGGCAGGUAACCAACUCAUUAUAACGACAAUGAUUUACAGGAUCUAUUUUCUUUUCAUCACAUUGGCGGAAAUGGGCUUCCACAGAUCUGGCAGCUGAGUGUAAAUUCCACCUGGACCCCGGCUACCGUCCUCCGUAUGAAUGAGUUACCAGCCCUGCUGCCACUGUUCACUGAUUAUGGACCACGUACAAGGCAGAUACAGGAGCUCGAGACUGGAAAAGUUGACUCGUGGCGCAUCAAAACAGGCCAGUACCAUCACUUGUACAUACUUAUACUUUUAACAUUUUUUUAAUAGGAGCACAAACUUAAAUAGGUGGUUUACAAAGAUGCAUUAAGCUUACAGAAAACUGGUUCAUUAAAUAUCACAUAAAUAGCCACACUUAAUAAUAUAUUAAGUAAUAAUAUAUACUCUAUAUACCUUAAAAGAAAAUAUAUUCUUAACACUUUUAAUGUUGGUAAUUUUACAAGAAGACAAGAUAUUAGAAGUAUAAGGAUUUUAAACCUUUGGUCACACCUACUAAAAUGUUAAUGUCCUAACAGGUGAAAACAUCAGUCAGGGACCGUGCAUCUUUGGAGAUUUGGUAAACCCUAAGCUUACAUACACUCUGCAAGUAUAUACACAUUUUUGCAGAUUAGUAAUGUUUGUUAGUUCCAUAAUGUGUAUAGAUGAUUAGGCAUCUACAACAAUAAAACAGUGCAUAUAAAUACAUUU